rnacentral:rRNA from 1 species
GUCUACGGCCAUGCCACCCUGAACGUGCCCAAUCUCAUCUGAUCUCAGAAGCUAAGCAGAAUUGGGCCUGGUUAGUACUUGGGUGGGAGACCACCUAGGAAUACUAGGUGCUGUAGGUG